rnacentral:rRNA from 1 species
GAUGAACGCUAGCGGUAGGCCUAACACAUGCAAGCCGAGCGGUAUUGUUUCUUCGGAAAUGAGAGAGCGGCGUACGGGUGCGUAACACGUGUGCAACCUGCCUUUAUCUGGGGGAUAGCCUUUCGAAAGGAAGAUUAAUACUCCAUAAUAUAUUGAACGGCAUCGUUUAAUAUUGAAAGCUCCGGCGGAUAGAGAUGGGCACGCGCAAGAUUAGCUAGUUGGUGAGGUAACGGCUCACCAAGGCGAUGAUCUUUAGGGGGCCUGAGAGGGUGAUCCCCCACACUGGUACUGAGACACGGACCAGACUCCUACGGGAGGCAGCAGUGAGGAAGAUUGGUCAAUGGGUGCAAGCCUGAACCAGCCAUCCCGCGUGAAGGACGACUGCCCUAGGGGUUGUAAACUUCUUUUGUAUAGGGAUAAACCUACCCUCGAGAGGGUAGCUGAAGGUACUAUACGAAUAAGCACCGGCUAACUCCGUG